rnacentral:lncRNA from 1 species
CACUUUUCUAGAGAGGGGCAUAAAAUCAAAAAUCGCUUGUUUACGCUGAAAAUGUGUCUGGUUUUUGGUGUUUCCUCACCCUGCUCAGAGUAGGUGGAGCCAUCCAAUAAUUUUAACACUGCCAACAACAGAAGAGGUGGUGGAAGGAAGGGCGAUAGCAAUCUCUGUAAUGACGAGCCCAAUAUUAUGCUAAGUAAGUGGGCAGUCAGGGCUGGGCUUGGCUGUAAAUAAAUCAAUCAUUGUUUCUUUCCAAGAGGAGGACCAGAUCCUAUAUAAAAGUUCUCCCACACCACGUUCCCUCAGUCCCGUUGACUCCUUUCCGCUGGUUCGUGCCGUGGGACACGGACUUCCAUCACACAGACCAUGGGGUCCCACCAGCAGAAGGGCGACGGCCAAGGGAUGUCCGAGCAGUCCGGAGGGUGCCACGGCGGCAGCGGUGGUGGUGGCAGCAGUGGCGGUGGUGGGAUCAUUUAUCAGACUCACAUGAUAUCAUCCUCGUGUGGAGGUGGAGGAGGAGGAGGUGGAGGAGGAGGAGGAGGAGGCGGCCAGCAGAGCCAAGGAUCCAUCUGCAUUAUUGGAGGAGGAGGAGGAGGAGGAGGAGGAGGGGGCUCAGGCCACCAGGGCCAAGGUCCCAUCAUUAUUGGUGGUGGUGGUGGUGGUGGUGGAGGAGGUGGUGGUGGCUCAGGGCACCAGGGUCAAGGUCCCAUCUGCAUUGGAGGUGGCAGUGGAGGAGGAGGAGGUGGUGGUGGCUCAGGCCACCAGGGCCAAGGUCCCAUUGUCAUCAUCGGGGGCGGUAGUGGAGGUGGAGGUGGCGGUGGAGGUGGAGGUGGCUCCUCCAGCUCUGGAGGAAUGUCCAUGCAGCAGCAGACCCAGCCCAUCUGCUGGCCACCGCAGACCAAGCGCAAGUAGUGGCUGCCAGAAGGACUCUGACACCAAGGAAGCCAAAGAUAUGAAGAUGCCUGACAUUUCCUCUUCUAUUAAAUUUAAGAUUAUUUGCGUUGUCUUCUUCUCCCUUCCCCUCGGAAUGUUCUGACCGGAACCUCUGGUGUUGUGUACCCCUAAUUCCAGCCAGGGCUGUUCCGUGUGCCUGUUCCUGGCUCAGUUUUCAAGUGCUUGCACCAGGCAAUAAAACUUGCAGUUCUAGAGAGUUCCGUGUGUGA